rnacentral:piRNA from 1 species
UUCCACGCAGCCUGUGUUAAGUGGCCUC